rnacentral:rRNA from 1 species
GGAAUAUUGGACAAUGGGCGAAAGCCUGAUCCAGCAAUGCCGCGUGAGUGAUGAAGGCCUUAGGGUUGUAAAGCUCUUUUACCCGGGAUGAUAAUGACAGUACCGGGAGAAUAAGCUCCGGCUAACUCCGUGCCAGCAGCCGCGGUAAUACGGAGGGAGCUAGCGUUAUUCGGAAUUACUGGGCGUAAAGCGCACGUAGGCGGUUACUCAAGUCAGAGGUGAAAGCCUGGAGCUCAACUCCAGAACUGCCUUUGAAACUAGGUGACUUGAAUCCAGGAGAGGUGAGUGGAAUUCCGAGUGUAGAGGUGAAAUUCGUAGAUAUUCGGAAGAACACCAGUGGCGAAGGCGGCUCACUGGACUGGUAUUGACGCUGAGGUGCGAAAGCGUGGGGAGCAAAC